rnacentral:lncRNA from 1 species
AUAAAGGCGAUCGACUUACAAGGUUAUGGAAGGAUGAUCUCAACAUUGAAUUGAGAGAUAUGAAAUUUUAAAUGACUUAGUAUGACGAUUAGAUUGAUUAAAGGAUGAAGGUCAUUACGAAAAUAUAACUUAAGUCAUGGUUCAAAUGAGCUUAGGAAUUGCACAAGUGAGUUUAAUCAAGCACAUUCAAGAAUGAUAUCUCAAACAAAUUCUACAAAUCGAAAUAAUGAUUGAUUUUAAAUUAACA